rnacentral:miRNA from 1 species
GUGGGGGGAUGGAGGGGGUAGGAACAUGAUGUGUGUAUACUAUUGAAGUUAAGUUGGUAUCUAAGUGAAGGAGAUUGUUAUGGAUUUAGGAUGUUAAAUUUAAGACCCAUGAUAGCUGCUGAGAAAAUAUAGGAGAA